GGAGAUAGCUGGUUCUCCGCGAAAUCUAUUUAGGUAGAGCGUCAUCCGAAUACCCUCGGGGGUAGAGCACUGGAUGGGUAAUGGGGCCUCACCGGCUUACUGAUCCUAACCAAACUCCGAAUACCGAGGAGUACUAGAUGGCAGACACACUGCGGAUGCUAACGUCCGUAGUGAAGAGGGAAACAACCCUGACCUACAGCUAAGGCCCCUAAUUCAUGGCUAAGUGGGAAAGCAGGUGGGACGACCAAAACAACCAGGAGGUUGGCUUAGAAGCAGCCAUCCUUUAAAGAAAGCGUAAUAGCUCACUGGUCGAGUCGGUCUGCGCGGAAGAUGUAACGGGGCUAAACUAUGCACCGAAGCUGCGGAUUCAUACUUUGUAUGAGUGGUAGGGGAGCGUUCUGUAAGCGGUUGAAGGUGUACCGGGAGGUAUGCUGGACGUAUCAGAAGUGCGAAUGCUGACAUGAGUAACGAUAAUGCGGGUGAAAAACCCGCACGCCGGAAGACCAAGGGUUCCUAUCCCAUGUUAAUCAGGGUAGGGUAAGUCGACCCCUAAGGCGAGGCCGAAAGGCGUAGUCGAUGGGAAACGGAUUAAUAUUUCCGUACUUGGUAUAAUUGCGAUGGGGGGACGGAGAAGGCUAAGCAAGCAUGGCGAUGGUUGUCCAUGUGAAAGUGAGUAGGGCGUUUGUUUAGGUAAAUCCGGACGAACAUUAAACCUGAGACACGAGACGAGCUACUACGGUAGUGAAGUUGCUGAUGCCAUACUUCCAGGAAAAGCCUCUAAGCUUCAGAUUAUACCGAAUCGUACCCCAAACCGACACAGGUGGUCAGGUAGAGAAUACUAAGGCGCUUGAGAGAACUCGGGUGAAGGAACUAGGCAAAAUCGUACCGUAACUUCGGGAGAAGGUACGCUCCUAUCUGUGAUGAGACUUGCUCUCUAAGCGGACGGGAGCCGCAGUGACCAGGUGGCUGGGACUGUUUAUUAAAAACACAGCACUGUGCAAAAUCGCAAGAUGACGUAUACGGUGUGACACCUGCCCGGUGCCGGAAGGUUAAUGGAUGGGGUUAUCUUCGGAGAAGCUCUUGAUCGAAGCCCCGGUAAACGGCGGCCGUAACAAUAACGGUCCUAAGG
rnacentral:rRNA from 14 species